UACGAAGGGGGCUAGCGUUGCUCGGAAUCACUGGGCGUAAAGCGCACGUAGGCGGAUCUUUAAGUCAGGGGGUGAAAUCCUGGAGCUCAACUCCAGAACUGCCUUUGAUACUGGGGAUCUCGAGUCCGGAAGAGGUGAGUGGAACUCCGAGUGUAGAGGUGAAAUUCGUAGAUAUUCGGAAAGAACACCAGUGGCGAAGG
rnacentral:rRNA from 1 species